rnacentral:rRNA from 1 species
UACGUAGGGUGCGAGCGUUAAUCGGAAUUACUGGGCGUAAAGUGUGCGCAGGCGGCCGAGCAAGUCGAGUGUGAAAGCCCCGAGCUUAACUUGGGAAUUGCGCUCGAAACUACUUGGCUGGAGUGUGGCAGAGGAAGGUGGAAUUCCAGGUGUAGCGGUGAAAUGCGUAGAGAUCUGGAGGAACACCGAUGGCGAAGGCAGCCUUCUGGGCCAACACUGACGCUCAUGCACGAAAGCGUGGGGAGCGAACGGG